rnacentral:lncRNA from 1 species
UUGGGUCGUGAGUUUACAGGAAAGAAUUUAAGGAUAAUGGAGCCAGGAGCAGCAACAUUUAUGCACUGGGUAAACUCUCGGGCUGAUGCAAUAGCCUGCAAAUCACGUCAGUCAGGUAAAUCGCACUAGACAAACUCGAUAUGACAGGCUCGAUCAAGAAAAUAUUGGUAGAGGAAAUCGAACUCGUAACCAAAUGCCUCCACGUUCACCUACUAAUUUCUCUUCUUUUCUUCUCUUGAGCUCCAAGUAUAUUAAUGGAGGGUUGUUAUUUGAAGGAAAGGGAAACUGAAAAAGGAAAGGAUUUUGCUGUUUUACCGUGAACACCUACGCACCCCCGCAGCAGGUGGGUCCCAUGCAGGAUCCACUUGUAUAAAAAAUUGGCCAACACCACCCACGCCAUGAGGUGAGUGCUCGGUAGAGGAUAUGUGAACCCCUACUCUAUAGUUCAAGCCUCGCCGAAAGGAAAAAGAGAGGGUUAGGCGGCUUAAGGAAAUUGAACGAUGAACGGUGAAAAAAAUCAGAUGAAUAGUAAUGGAAAACGGCAUC